rnacentral:rRNA from 1 species
AGAGAGAGACAUGCGCGCAUAUCAAUAAGCGGAGGAAAAGAAACUAACAAGGAUUCCCUUAGUAACGGCGAGUGAAGCGGGAAGAGCUCAAAUUUGAAAUCUUCAAGGUUUUACCUUGACGAAUUGUAGUUUAAAGAAGUGUUUUCUGCUGAAGUUUUGGUAAAAGUUCUUUGGAAUAGGACAUCAUAGAGGGUGAGAAUCCCGUAUUUGACCAUUAUUUUCAGCUUUGUGAUACACUUUCAAAGAGUCGGAUUGUUUGGGAAUGCAGUCCAAAAUGGGUGGUAAAUUUCAUCUAAAGCUAAAUAUUGGCGAGAGACCGAUAGCGAACAAGUACCGUGAGGGAAAGAUGAAAAGAACUUUGAAAAGAGAGUUAAACAGUACGUGAAAUUGUCAAAAGGGAAGCGUUUGACACCAGUGUUGUUUUCUCGAAAAUCAAUUAAAAAUGGCUCGAUUUUGUAUUGCUUGAGACCUUAAAAGCUCACUGUACAUUUUCCGUGUCUUUUUUAAUGCACUUUUCGUUUAACAAGUCAACAUCAGUUUCUUUUGUUGUAAAAGGGUCAUUGGAAGGUGGCUUUCUUUUCGGAGAGAAAGUGUUUAUAGCCUUUGGCCUCUGCAAUCGGAGAGACUGAGGUCUGCAGCGUAGACUCUUCGGGGUUAGAUACAUUUGUGCUAAGUUAUAGCUUUUUAUAGACAACUUGUUGACUAUAAUUAGUCUUGUAGCUUACUCGCUUAUGCUAUUUUACCUACGCUUAGGAUGUUGAGUCGUAGAGCACGCA